UGGGGAAUAUUGGACAAUGGGGGAAACCCUGAUCCAGCGACGCCGCGUGAGUGAAGAAGUAUUUCGGUAUGUAAAGCUCUAUCAGCAGGGAAGAAGAAAUGACGGUACCUGACCAAGAAGCCCCGGCUAACUACGUGCCAGCAGCCGCGGUAAUACGUAGGGGGCAAGCGUUAUCCGGAUUUACUGGGUGUAAAGGGAGCGUAGACGGCAAUGCAAGUCAGAUGUGAAAGCCCGGGGCUCAACCGCGGGACUGCAUUUGAAACUGUGAUGCUGGAGUGCAGGAGAGGUAAGUGGAAUUCCUAGUGUAGCGGUGAAAUGCGUAGAUAUUAGGAGGAACACCAGUGGCGAAGGCGGCUUACUGGACUGUAACUGACGUUGAGGCUCGAAAGCGUGGGGAGCAAACAGG
rnacentral:rRNA from 1 species